rnacentral:tRNA from 1 species
GCCCUGCGAGUGUGCCGGCAGCACGGCAGCGUUCGAAGCUGCCAGACGAGGUUCGAUUCCUCGGUGGGGCG